rnacentral:rRNA from 1 species
GACGAACGCUGGCGGCGUGCCUAAUACAUGCAAGUAGAACGCUGAAGCUUGGUGCUUGCACCGAGCGGCUGAGUUGCGAACGGGUGAGUAACGCGUAGGUAACCUGCCUGGUAGCGGGGGAUAACUAUUGGAAACGAUAGCUAAUACCGCAUAACAGUAGAUAUCGCAUGAUAGCUACUUGAAAGGUGCAAAUGCACCACUACCAGAUGGACCUGCGUUGUAUUAGCUAGUUGGUGAGGUAACGGCUCACCAAGGCAACGAUACAUAGCCGACCUGAGAGGGUGAUCGGCCACACUGGGACUGAGACACGGCCCAGACUCCUACGGGAGGCAGCAGUAGGGAAUCUUCGGCAAUGGACGGAAGUCUGACCGAGCAACGCCGCGUGAGUGAAGAAGGUUUUCGGAUCGUAAAGCUCUGUUGUAAGAGAAGAACGAGUGUGAGAGUGGAAAGUUCACACUGUGACGGUAUCUUACCAGAAAGGGACGGCUAACUACGUG